GCGCGUCGUCUGAAAUCAUGUUGGAGACUCGCGUCUUCUUUCUGAUCUUAUCAUAAAUAUAGCAUUUAUCUCUGAAAAUCGUUUAUCUUCAUUUCUUUGUGAGCUCGUCUAAAUUCCAGGGUGUGUGAAGAAUCAACGGCUGGUUCAAGAAAACUCGUAAGAUGAACGGUUCUAGUUCCAAUGAAGCAGCGGCGGAGGCUGAUCAGGUUCCCCUGCACCAAACCAAACCAAAAGGUCGAAAACGUAAAGAGGAAGAUCCUGAUGAAAGAAAGAAAAAGAAAAAUGAGCGUGAUCGAGAUCGUCGGGCUAAAGAAAAGGUUGAAUUACAGAGACUUAAGGGCGUGGAAGCCCAAUUCAAGCAAAUGCAGGACGAGUACAGGGAGCUGAAAAGAAAAAACGAAGAGCUCAAGUCUGUGCGGCUGAAUCUGGAAAAUCAGGUAAUUGAACGUAAUCCUCCUCUUCAUGGAAUGGUAACGUCCCCUGUAACUUUUCUCUUUUUCUUUUGGUCGAAAAAGGCAUUCACUUUCUCUAGAGACAGGAGGCCUUUUUCUUUUUUUUUUACUUUAUUAGUAUUUUUUUGGGCCAUCGCUUACUUACUUUCUUUAGCCCGAAACAUCCGAUCUGGGUAAGAGGCCAGUGCUUGACUUUGCCCAAGCCGGCUGGCAAGCCCUACCCUCGUCGAGCCAGAUCUGGUCGGAAAGGAGAGAAGAAAGAAGAAGAAAAAAAUGACACGUGCCGAUUUGUCAUACUCACAUGGAUAAAUUCCAUGAAUUUUAAAGGGAUAAUUCGAUAAAAGGAUCAAAAUGAAACCAAUUUAAGAGGUCAAGGAUUCAAAUGAAACAAUUCAAAAAGUAGGGAUCAAAGUAGAACUUAAAUAAAAAAAGUUGAGAAUUAUGAUGGGAUUUACCUGAUACUGUCAUUUCUUUAGUAUGCUCUGUUUUAAUCUUUCUUCUCUACGCCUAAGUUUGUGAAAUGUGGAAUUAAAUAUCUAGGUCUAGUGACACCUAUUUAUGUUUUAGUUAACA